CUCAGUGAUCCCACUGAGCUCAGUGAUCCCAUAUUAAUAGAAACAGAAAUACUCUAUAGAACAGAUUAUCAGUAGAAACAAUCCAGCAAUAUUGUGAUGAUUUCUCCAAGUCUUCCUGGAAACCAGAAGUUUUGCCAGCUGUACUCACCUCUAAGUGUUCAGAUUUCCUUUUGCUGCCCACUGUGAGUGCACAGACAGCCGUGUCUCUAUCCUGGCGUGACAAAGCAAUGAGAAAAUUGUAUCUUUAAAUACCAACUUAAUCUAAUCUGGGACAAAAACAAUGAAAGGCUUUAAUCAUAAUUGCAUGGUGCCUGCUGGCUGUCACCAGAGGGCAGAGACAAGGUUGUUUGUUGCCACGUGUGGAUAGUUCAGAAAUUAAAUCUCCUUUCCACAAAGGCAAUAGAUUCUGAUCUAGCUUGUGUCCUUUCCAAAUAUUUCAGCCUCGUAACCAGAUCGCUCAUUUCAUCAGCAUCUGUCACAAACACUGUCUUGCUUCUGUCAGGCUAUGUACAAAGGGGCAAGGAGAAAUGUCUUUAUCGUACUGUGGGUGCCUGACUUUAUAACAUCGCAGCUUACACAAAAUACUGGCUCACAAAAUAAACAGGAGACUUACUUCCCCUUUGCAAAGCUUUUCCAGAGCUUGGUGUUUGCAGUGCCUGCACUCUGUGAAUGCUUCCCAGCUGGGCAACCACAGCAGGAACAGGGGGAGCCCGAUGGGGAUCAGGAGCUGCUCUUACACAGAACACAUGGAAAGCUGUGCUGUUGUCUCAGUUUAGAAGAACGAAGAUUUUAAAGGCCAAGGCAGUAAGAAUGCAGUUUUGGACCAUCUCCCUCCAAGAAAAGCUACUCGACGCACAACAGCCCUGCCAGGCUGCAGCAUGAGCUACCAAAGAGCUGCUGCUGCUCAAGUGUCUCUGUGCCAUGCGCCACUGGAUGGCCAGGCUUGGUGUUUACAAGCAAGCCCCUGGGCUCGCUGUUCACAGCUCCAGCACCAAGGCUUAACUGGAGAAGGGAUUCCACAAGAGAAGCCAAAACUGUUUAUCAGAACCAGGAAUCAUUGGGCUGACUUGCCAAAUCAGACUAAGAGUUUAUAUGGCCGUUAUGAGGACUCAGAAUAAAGCGCGUGGACAUGGAAGACAUUGGUACAUAAACAUUUAACGCCCUGAUGUUUUAAUUAUUUUGGCCUGCAGCAGCAAGGAACAUUUUAAAGGCCAGAUCCUUUGUAGUGCUGAAUAUAUUCAACACCAGUUGUGCUCCUCAGAACCACCGUGCUCGAUGCCUUCCCACGAGGUGCCUCAAGUAGAGCCCCAUGCUGCCUGCCCUCCCAGCCAGCAGCCACCACCACCCUGGGGGUGGAAAGUACAAGGGCAACUUGACGCCAUUGACAACCACAGGACAUUCCUUGUAUGUGAAAUUUCUGCAGAUUCAAGAUUUCUACAUAGCUGUGCUGCCACUUACUUACAGAAACAUGUUUUCACAGCUUAAAUGCAUUAACCCCUAGUGGGCCUUAGAUUUCUGUGUAGGAUUUGACAUGACGUGUCUUCGAGAGAUCUUCAGGACAGGAAGACAAAACACCACUCCUGGAAAUUAAAAAAUAACUGAAUUUAGAUCAAACACUUGGAAAGUCUGGCUUUUGCUCUAAAAGAUUAACCAGUAUUUAGAAUUUUUUUUUUUUGCUGUGGGAGAUUCCUUCAGUAAUUAUUAAAAAGCAAGAUGAAAAACCAGCAUCAUCUUUUGAGUGCCAAUAUCACGCCUGGACAAAAGCAAUCAGCCCUAGAUCAGCCCUAAUAAUAUUUGCUCCUGGAUACAUUGCAGAAUCCCUGGCUAUGCUUAGGAUAGGAAGGAAUUUCCUCAUGUGCCUUGUGAUCAGAGCUGAACGUUAGCCUUGUCCCCUCUAUGGGCCCUGUUUUGUUUCUGAAGAUUUCCUCUGCUUUUUUCAGGUAUGGUUUGGUUUGAUUUACUCUAGUAAUCACAAAAAAUGAUCUAGAUUUUUGUCCACUAGAAAUGAGAUGCAGGGAAAGGAAGAGGAUUAUGAGAAUAACCAGCUGCUCAACCACCUACAGCCUCCUGGUCCACUCCUACAAGGUCAGUGGAUUGUGUUCAAGAUCACAAUCAAAGCAUGCGUUGUGUCAGUUGCAGCACUACACCUAAGCAGCAACCUCUUUGCUUCUAUAUGUAGCUAGAUCAUUGCCAGGCCUAGAAUAAGGUGAACAAAAUUCCUAAUCUCACGGUUAAUGACAACAUGCUUUAAUUCUUCUACUCCUGUUACACUUACGAAAACAGUCUAUAUAGUGUGAUGAAUUUUUAUGCAUACUUACUCUUCUUAUUUCAGGCACAUUGGUUCUAGAUCUUUAUAAACAGCCCCAAGGUGUUUUUUUUUUGUUUUUUUUUUUUGGUGUUCUUUUGGCAAAUAAUUGGUCAUACUUGAAGCUGAUGGGAGAGUUUGCAUUGGACUCAGGGAGUGGGCUUUGCCUCAGGUCAAGUAAAGCCAGUAACUGGAUCCAACAACUACUUGAUCUCCAGUUUCCAGUUUCUCCAAUUGUUUUGUCUGUUCUGCAGAAGCUAAGUUAAUUACAAAUAAUAGGCCCUAACUUGACAUACACCUCUCUCAUAUUCAACCUCUAUGAUUAGAAAAACACCAAGACUAGAUAUCUACAUGAAGUCUGUCUUGUGA